UACGUAGGGGACAAGCGUUAUCCGGAUUUACUGGGUGUAAAGGGUACGUAGGCGGUUUAAUAAGUCAGGUGUGAAAGCCCGUAGCUCAACUACGGAUGUGCACUUGAAACUAUUGAACUAGAGUACAGGAGAGGAAAGCGGAAUUCCUAGUGUAGCGGUGAAAUGCGUAGAUAUUAGGAAGAACAUCAGUGGCGAAGGCGGCUUUCUGGACUGUAACUGACGCUGAGGUACGAAAGCAUGGGGAGCGAACAGG
rnacentral:rRNA from 1 species